rnacentral:rRNA from 1 species
AGCGAACGCUGGCGGUAGGCCUAACACAUGCAAGUCGAACGGCAGCACAGUAAGAGCUUGCUCUUACGGGUGGCGAGUGGCGGACGGGUGAGGAAUACAUCGGAAUCUACUUUUUCGUGGGGGAUAACGUAGGGAAACUUACGCUAAUACCGCAUACGACCUACGGGUGAAAGCAGGGGAUCUUCGGACCUUGCGCGAUUGAAUGAGCCGAUGUCGGAUUAGCUAGUUGGCGGGGUAAAGGCCCACCAAGGCGACGAUCCGUAGCUGGUCUGAGAGGAUGAUCAGCCACACUGGAACUGAGACACGGUCCAGACUCCUACGGGAGGCAGCAGUGGGGAAUAUUGGACAAUGGGCGCAAGCCUGAUCCAGCCAUACCGCGUGGGUGAAGAAGGCCUUCAGGUUGUAAAGCCCUUUUGUUGGGAAAGAAAAGCAGCAGGUUAAUACCCCGCUGUUCUGACGGUACCCAAAGAAUAAGCACCGGCUAACUUCGUG